rnacentral:siRNA from 1 species
CUUCUCCCAGAUGUGUGCUUUG